AGCCUAGUGGUUGAGGCUAUGGAUCGCCAAUCCGGAGACAGCGGGUUCGAUUCCCGU
rnacentral:tRNA from 1 species